GUGCCCACAAUCACAGCUGCCAGUGACUGAACUCCACUCUCCAUAUGGCAGUCAGGGCACAGAAUACAUUGAAAACUUUUGCCAGCCAUGUGCAACAGUUUCGGCUUGUCUGAUAAAUUAAACAACAGCCGGGGCCAGCAGACGAGUCGCGACUCGUGAAUCCAUGACCGGUGCCGGUGCCGGCGCUGGUAGUUCAACUUUUGGCUGGCCAUAAACCACGCGAAUUGGCUACCACUUUGCCUGCUGUCAGCCCACAUACGCACCUGCAGCCUGCAACCUGCAACCUGCAACUGCAACUGAAUCUGAGUCUGGUUCAUGCCAUAUUUAAGCGUGGUCAUGCCUGCCGCUGCCAUCCAUAGAUAAAUUGUUGGGCGCAUUUAAUAUGAAAAGUUAUGGUUGAGGCAAUUAAAAUCAGGUGCCCCGCAAAGGAACUUUAAGGGCCCAAGCCAAAGCCCAUAGAUUUGGGAUUUUAAUUGUUAAUCUGGCACACAACUUGAAGUGAUCGAAAAGGCUUUUAAAUUGAUUAAUUUUUAGCUAAAUUAUGGCUGUAUUUUGUGGAAUUUGCUGCUCGUGUUUGUUUGCUUUGCCUGUGCUCAUAAUUAUGUUGGCAUUCAUAACGAAUAACUAUAUAAGCGACAGCCCCAAACACACUCACACACAUGCUCCACGACAGAGGCGCGUGCUCACAAAUUUCGUAAUCCUUUAACAAGCCCCUGCAGCUUCCGCCUUUUGGCUCUUUCGCACGACUCCACACACAUCCUGCCCCUGUUGAUGCUGUUGAUGCUGCUGCUGUCAUUGUCUUGGGCCUCAUCAUCGCAUAAUUAAUCUUCAAAAAAUCAUCAGCCGUCGCAGGCAUUAAUCUUUCUUAAAACGUUUCACGCAACUUUUAGUCCAUUGUUACACAUACGACGUGUGUGUGCCGCAUACAAAACGAGAGCCAGCAUCCCCUCAGUUUUCUCAUCUCAUAAUUGUGUGCAGCCCUCGUCCUGCUGCUGGAUGUUGCUUCAGUCCAUGUUUUGUUGUUUUUGCUGUUGCUGUUGCUGAAGUAAUUU
rnacentral:lncRNA from 1 species